AAUUAGAGACUGACCAAGUUGCAGUUGUGUGUCGUGGCCGCUAAGGUGAGUCCCAACCCAUGGUGUCGAUAGGUAGUAUCCUGCCACAUAAGCAAGAUAUUAUUUUAGACAUUAUACUUUACAACCCAUGAUUUCUUAGUGCGGAUCCUUAAUAAAUUUAUCAUCUCUCAUCUCAACUAAUCAUAUUUGUUCCUCAUCAAUUACGAAGACAUCAUCUUCUCCCAAU
rnacentral:lncRNA from 1 species